GAUGAACGCUGGCGGCGUGCCUAAUACAUGCAAGUCGAGCGAACAGACGAGGAGCUUGCUCCUCUGACGUUAGCGGCGGACGGGUGAGUAACACGUGGAUAACCUACCUAUAAGACUGGGAUAACUUCGGGAAACCGGAGCUAAUACCGGAUAAUAUAUUGAACCGCAUGGCUCAAUAGUGAAAGACGGUUUUGCUGUCACUUAUAGAUGGAUCCGCGCCGCAUUAGCUAGUUGGUAAGGUAACGGCUUACCAAGGCAACGAUGCGUAGCCGACCUGAGAGGGUGAUCGGCCACACUGGAACUGAGACACGGUCCAGACUCCUACGGGAGGCAGCAGUAGGGAAUCUUCCGCAAUGGGCGAAAGCCUGACGGAGCAACACCGCGUGAGUGAUGAAGGUCUUCGGAUCGUAAAACUCUGUUAUUAGGGAAGAACAAAUGUGUAAGUAACUAUGCACGUCUUGACGGUACCUAAUCAGAAAGCCACGGCUAACUACGUG
rnacentral:rRNA from 1 species